UACGUAGGCAGCGAGCGUUGUUCGGAGUUACUGGGCGUAAAGGGUGUGUAGGCGGAUGGUACAGUCAGAUGUGAAAUUCCCGGGCUCAACCUGGGGGCUGCAUUUGAUACGUGCUGUCUUGAGUUCGGAAGAGGGUCGUGGAAUUCCCAGUGUAGAGGUGAAAUUCGUAGAUAUUGGGAAGAACACCGGUGGCGAAGGCGGCGACCUGGUCCGAGACUGACGCUGAGGCGCGAAAGCGUGGGGAGCGAACAGG
rnacentral:rRNA from 1 species